UAAGAACAGCAGAAAAAUGUAUUUUCAUUUUACAAGAAUGACUUCAAUUUAAGUUAGUUUUUAUUCACCAAAAUCCAUAAUGUUCCAUGUGUCACAAUAAAACAAAGCAGACUUUGCCAGCGUGAAUCCACUUUUACUGAAGAUGAGGGUCAUUCAUGGACCUAGAGGUUACAAUAGUCAAAGUGUUCUGCACGAGAACAAACACACAGAUGUCUUUGAAAUGUGAUGCAAAAGUGCAGACUGCUGCCUCCUACUGAUGAAAAGGAAAUGAGUGAGAUGCUAUGAGUCACUAAUUGUGAACUAGUCAGUCGACAACUCCAAGAGCCCACUUCAUGCUGGUGACGAGGUCCACCAACGAUGGUCUGGCAUGUGGGGGCCUUAGUUGAAAGACAGGAGAGGUGGAUCAGAGACAGCUAGAGGAGCAGGCAUUUCCCGAGUGCUGUAAAGGGGGACUCAUCCCGCUAGGAGAAUGUCUAUUAGGGAAUUCAGACCAAGUUCUGGGAAGGAAUCCACAAGGAAGUCUCCGGGAGCAAGGAAGAAGGGGAAAGGAGAGGCAGCUGGGAAAAUGCGAGACACACACAUCCACCCCUUCCCCAAAACCCUGGCUUACACACUCGUGAGAGCCUCCCGUGGCUCAGGGAAGUCUUAGGGGGUCUUAGGAAACAUCACACAUUUCACUUUCAUCUGUCCACCAGUUAGCUACACUCGGGCUUCCAGAUCAUGAAUUUUUUUUUCUUUUUAAAGGGAGUCUUGUUCUAUAGCCCAGGCUGGAGUCCAGUGGUGUCAUCUCGGCUCACUGCAACCUCAGCCUCCCAGGUUCAAGCGAUUCUCCCACCUCAUCCUCCCGAGGAGCUGGGACUACAGGCACGCGCCACCAUGCCCAGCUAAUUUUUGUAUUUUUCGUAGAGACAGGGGUUUCACCAUGUUGGCCAGGCUUGUCUUGAACUCCUGACCUCCUGAUCUGCCCGCCUCAGCCUCCCAAAGUACUGGGAUUACAGACAUGAGCCGCCGCGCCUGGCCAACAGGUGUUUCUUAAAAGCAGAAGCAGAGAGAGGGCAGGAGAGAACAAACAGGAGGGGAGGGAUGUCUUCCGGACACUGGGCUCUCUCCUCAGGAGAGAAUGAGGCCUGAGGUGGGCACAGGGCCCUCUGGGUGUGUAACAGGCCCAGGGCAGCCUCGCCAGCCUCCAUUGCUUGUCCAUAAGCAAAGCAUAACAUUAUGUGUAAAAACAAACAUCAUCACAAGAUAGGCCAGGCACCGCCUUGCGACAGCAGCCUUGUGGCUACUGGAUGUGUGUGGUUGACCUCAGUAAGGUAGGCGCCCUUCUCUGCAGGCCUGUCCAGACAGCUCCGCACCAUGCUGCUCAGGAUCAGGCCUGCAGUUCCACGAACUGGCCCCCUUGUGGGUUGCCUUCAGGAGCAUACCUCUGACUCAGUGUCCCAACCUCCUCUGCCCUGCCCUGCCCGGGGCCCUCAUGUGCACACACCCAGGAUCUGCCCAGGGCCCUCUCUGCUCAGCCCACAAAUACUGCUUCGUUCCCCUGGCUGACUGGCUGCACCUCCAGGUAAAGCAAUGCUCUCAGGCCCCAGCCAGGUCAUUCUUUACGGGGUUAUUCUAUGUACUGUGGGAGGUAUAGCAGCACCGCUGGUCUUUACGAUGACCGGUUGUGACAUGUGAGCCUCAGUCCUCGCUAUAUCAGGGAGUAGCUUCCUCCGACUAUCGGAAUCACCCUUGCCUGAUGGCAUCUUCUCAGCCCCGUGCUUAGUAAGUCCCCACAUUCCUUUACAGGUGUUCAUUUAAUUCCCUUUGGGUUGAUUCUCAAUAGUUUCUUUCUCUAAGAGUAACCUGAUUUCUGACCCAUACAAUGACCACUGUGGUCCAGCGGACCAUUUGCCUUUCCCACUUUUCCGUCCCCAACACGCACACGCUCCACCCCCUUGCAUAAAAUAACAGUAAGGAAGAAGCAGAAUGAAAUUCCACCCCUGCAUCAGCUACUGGAGUUGGGGCUGAGUUUUGUCUGAUUAAGAACUGCCGGAUCAGUGGCUCACGUUGUGUGUUUUCUCUGUUGGAGGCCCGCCCGGCAUGCGCAGGACCCUCUUUAAGGCCUUCCACCUCUGCUCCUACAUCUUCCACCGGGUUUGUUACAAAUAGUCCCAGAUCUAUUGUACAUCUUCUCAUACUUUUUGCUAUUGAAACUUCUUACAAAGUUUUCUCACCUGCCAGAGGGCAGAGAAACAAAUUGUCAUGAAUGUUCUAGGACCUAGAACAGAGCUUGAGGCAGGGAAAGUAUUCACAAUGUUGUUGGCUGCAGUCAGGAAUAAUAAAUCAAUGUUGAGUGGAUAAACUAAUGAAUAGUUUUGUUUGGUUUUAUGCCAAAAAAUAGUAAUCUCCUGGGUAGCCGGGUACAGUGGCUCAUACCUGUAAUCUCAAUGCUUUGGGAGGCCGAGGUGGGAGGAUCCCUUGAGCUCAGGAGUUCAAGACCAGACUGGACAACAUGGUGAAACCACAUGGCUGCAAAACAUCCAAAAAUUAACCAGGCAUGGUGGUGCGCAUCUGUUUUCUCAGCUACUCAGCCUACUUGGGGAGGCUGAGGCGGAAGAAUCACCUGAACCUGCACUCCAGCCUGGUUGACAAAACAAGAUCCUGUCUCAAAAAAAAAAAAAAAAAAAAAAAAGAAGUGAUCUCCCAUCACCCUCAAAGAAUUCCAGAUAAGAGCAACAGGUCAGCCCGAUCACACUCCUCCAGGUAUCUUUGAGUCUCAGGGCGGUGGUUGCCAUGCUUGAGGGAGGGACGAGGAAGCUGGUUGUUUUCACCACCAGUAAGACCCUGGGAGGCCUGCCGUGGCUUUGAUUGCAGUUCCGACAGAUCCUUCCUUCCCAGCUGGUGCACACCCAACGCACCCCUGCAGAGAGAGCCAAGGAUCCCCCCACAGGCAUGUUUGUGGAGGAGCGUGCACAGUCCUAACGGGUGGCCUGUGGACUCCUGCAGGUCGGCUCCCAGAAAAUCCCAGUCUUACAACCAUGAAAAGGAAGUAGGAUUCACAUACUGUAAACGGUAGGCAGGCCCUUGGUAAUGCUGGGGCUGCUAAGUUUUGAAAACCUAAGAGUUUUAUUUUCUAAAGCAGAAUACAUUCCAUUAACUUGACAUCCUUUAAAAAGUUAUUAAGGCCGGGCAUGGUGGCUCACGCCUGUAAUCCCAGCACUUUGGGAGGCCGAGGCGGGCGGAUCAUGAGGUCAGGAGAUCGAGACCAUCCUGGCUAACACAGUGAAACCCCGUCUCUACUAAAAAAUACAAAAAAAAUUACCCGGUCAUGGGUGGCAGGCGCCUGUAGUGCCAGCUACUCGGGAGGCUGAGGCAAGAGAAUGGCGGGAACCGGGGAGGCGGAGCUUGCAGUGAGCUGAGAUUGCGCCAUUGCACUCCAGCCUGGGCGACAGAGGGAGACUCUGUCUCAAAAAAAAAAAAAAAAAAAAAAAAAUAGCUGGGCGUGGUGACACGUGCCUGUAGUCCCAGCUACUCAGGAGGUUGAGGCAGAAUUGCUUGAAUCUGGGAGGCAGAGGUUGCAGUGAGCUGAGACCGUGCCAUUGCACUCCAGCCUGGGUGACAGAGCGAGACUCCACCUAAAAAAAAAAAAAAAGAAAAAAAAGGUUAUUCCAUGGAGGUAUUUUAAUUAUGCAAUAAAAGGCAGAAGCGACUUUACUGCUACAACUCCCAGAGCAAUUGUUUGCAUGUAGGUUUUUUUCCAGUCUCCAAGGGGUCUUGAUUUUCGAAGCCACUAUCACCCCAGCAAACACCUGUGAAGCUGAAGGCAUCUCUUUCCGCUGUUCUCUCCCAUGCACUGCCCUUGAUCAGCCUUCAAAAUCCAGGGUCCUUGGGGUCACCGGGCUCUGGAAGGGAGCCCACAGGUUGAUCUCUCCAGUUCCACUUACCUCUCCCCCUCGUAUCGUAGUAUUUGCUGCCUCUCCCUUUCCCACAAAACCUGCAAGUUUCUUAAGACUGGGGGUGGGCUUUUUUUCAUCAUUGUAUCCCAUUCCCACUGCAUGGCAUUCCACGGUAUGUGUCCCAUUAAUCUCAAAUGAAAAGCAUUCUUCUUCUUUCCCCACAGAGGCCAGUUUAGGAAACAGGAGCCCUGGCAUUGUCAUGCCCUUGGGGGAAUUGUGGAUAAGGACUGGGUUAAGGAUGAAAUGACUUUUUUCACUUUUGUGAUCUCUGUAGGCUUCCCAGGGGUGCUGAGCACUAGUGCUGAGUGCAGAGAUGAGCGAUGCCGGAGACCAUCAUCUCCUCCACCUAACUCGGCUUCCCAGGGGUGCUGAGCACUAGUGCUGAGUGCAGAGAUGAGCGAUGCCGGAGACCAUCAUCUCCUCCACCUAACUCGGCUUCCCAGGGGUGCUGAGCACUAGUGGUGAGUGCAGAGAUGAGCGAUGCCGGAGACCAUCAUCUCCUCCACCUAACUCGGCUUCCCAGGGGUGCUGAGCACUAGUGGUGAGUGCAGAGAUGAGCGAUGCCGGAGACCAUCAUCUCCUCCACCUAACUCGGCUUCCCAGGGGUGCUGAGCACUAGUGGUGAGUGCAGAGAUGAGCGAUGCCGGAGACCAUCAUCUCCUUCACCUAACUCGGCUUCCCAGGGGUGCUGAGCACUAGUGGUGAGUGCAGAGAUGAGCGAUGCCGGAGACCAUCAUCUCCUUCACCUAACUCCAUUUGGGCUCCUCGGGGUACUUUUUCCUUUUCCCCUCUUUUUUUCUUCUCUCCAUUCUAGGCUCUGGGUGCUUUUUCAACUAGGUCCUGACUUCUGGAUUUCUGUGUUAUCUCUGUAUUGUCCAAUUUUAGCAAGAGUCCUGCUCAGCCAGUUCAGCUACACCCCCGACCCUCGAUAUCUGACAGGUUCCUCAUCCUCCACCCUCCGCCAGGCCACGUCUGAUCUCCCUGGCCUGCCCUCUGCAGGUCCUGUGAGGUUGGCUUAACCAGAGUCCUCCCUCUGAUGUCUCCUCUUAGUAAGUUUCCAUCCAGUGACCUUCCACCUUCUCCUUAGCUAUAAAUACCCACUUUUUCUUGUUGUAUUUACAGUUGGGACCAAUCUCUAUGCCCUUUUGCAAAGUGGUCCCUACUCAAGGUCCCUACAAAGGGGUCCCUUGAGUAAAGAUCAUGACCCUGCUUGACUAAAGCCUUCCUUAUCGUCUUU
rnacentral:lncRNA from 10 species